rnacentral:rRNA from 1 species
GCCUAAAGCGUCCGUAGCCUGCUUUGUAAGUUUCCGGUUAAAUCCAUUAGCUUAACUGAUGGGCCGCCGGAAAAACUGCAAAGCUAGGGAGUGGGAGAGGUAGACGGUACUCGGUAGGAAGGGGUAAAAUCCUUUGAUCUAUCGAUGACCACCAGUGGCGAAGGCGGUCUACCAGAACACGUUCGACGGUGAGGGAUGAAAGCUGGGGGAGCAAACCGGAUUAGAUACCCGGGUAGUCCCAGCUGUAAACGAUGCAGACUCGGUGAUGCACUGGCUUGUGGCCAGUGCAGUGCCGCAGGGAAGCCGUUAAGUUUGCCGCCUGGGAAGUACGUACGCAAGUAUGAAACUUAAAGGAAUUGGCGGGGGAGCACCACAAGGGGUGAAGCCUGCGGUUCAAUUGGAGUCAACGCCAGAAAUCUUACCCGAAGAGACAGCAGAAUGAAGGUCAAGCUGGAGACUUUACCAGACAAGCUGAGAAGUGGUGCAUGGCCGUCGCCAGCUCGUGCCGUGAGAUGUCCUGUUAAGUCAGGUAACGAGCGAGAUCCCUGCCUCUAGUUGCCACCAUUACUCUCAGGAGUAGUGGGGCGAAUUAGCGGGACCGCCGCAGUUAAUGCGGAGGAAGGAAGGGGCCACGGCAGGUCAGUAUGCCCCGAA